CGCCAGACUCCUACGGGAGGCAGCAGUGGGGAAUAUUGCACAAUGGGGGAAACCCUGAUGCAGCGACGCCGCGUGAGCGAUGAAGUAUUUCGGUAUGUAAAGCUCUAUCAGCAGGGAAGAAGAUGACGGUACCUGACUAAGAAGCCCCGGCUAACUACGUGCCAGCAGCCGCGGUAAUACGUGGGGGGCAAGCGUUAUCCGGAUUUACUGGGUGUAAAGGGAGCGUAGACGGCGAUGCAAGCCAGAUGUGAAAGCCCGGGGCUCAACCCCGGGACUGCAUUUGGAACUGUGUGGCUGGAGUGUCGGAGAGGCAGGCGGAAUUCCUAGUGUAGCGGUGAAAUGCGUAGAUAUUAGGAGGAACACCAGUGGCGAAGGCGGCCUGCUGGACGAUGACUGACGUUGAGGCUCGAAAGCGUGGGGAGCAAACAGGAUUAGAUACCCCGGUAAAG
rnacentral:rRNA from 1 species